GCAAGCGUUGUCCGGAAUUAUUGGGCGUAAAGAGCUCGUAGGUGGCUUGUCGCGUCUGCCGUGAAAGCCCAUGGCUUAACUGUGGGUCUGCGGUGGAUACGGGCAGGCUGGAGGCUGGUAGGGGCAAGCGGAAUUCCUGGUGUAGCGGUGAAAUGCGCAGAUAUCAGGAGGAACACCGGUGGCGAAGGCGGCUUGCUGGGCCAGUUCUGACGCUGAGGAGCGAAAGCGUGGGGAGCGAACAGG
rnacentral:rRNA from 1 species